GAAUUGUGCACUUGGGGAGCUUGGCUCUUGAGACAGGAGUCUUGCUGAUGCUCCUGGCUGAAUAAACCCCUUCCUUCUUUAACUCGGUGUCUGAGGGUUUUUUUCUGAGGCUCUUCAUGCUACAUUUCUUGGUUCUCUGACUGGGAAGUGAGGUGAUUGGCGGAUGGUUAAGGCAGCUCCUUAGGUGGCUUAAGCUUGCCCUGUGGAACAACCCUGAGGGGGACUCUGACCAGCCCGAGCAAUGUGGAUCCUGAGAGGACUCCCGGGUAGGCAUUUGCCCUGGUGGGAUGCCUCGCCAGAGCAGUGUGUGGCAGGCCCCCGUGGAGGAUCAACACAGUGGCUGAACACCAGGAAGGAACUGGCACUUGGAGUCCGGACAUCUAAAACGUGUGAUUCUCCAAGGGCAAAUGAAUUUUGACCAGGAAGACAGUGAAGAAAUUUCAUAAAAGUGAAAUACUAAUUGGAAGCUCCUAUCGGCAUUGGUUGAUCUGACAAGUUGUGUGUAUAGAAACUAGCCUAUAUGGAGACACGAAUGUCAAAAGAAGUUUUACCGAUGAUAGAAAUAUGAGAGGAUCAUUAUGUAUUCUUCAAGAAAAAGAAAUAUGGCAAAGGAUAGUAAAGGUAAUACUGCCAAAAAUAUCCAGAUUGUAUUGAAGAAAAUUGUGAAAAAAAGGACCAGAGUCAAAGUUAUUUUUCUAGGUAAGUACACUUGUUAAAACAUAAUCAUGGCCGGGCAUGG
rnacentral:lncRNA from 1 species